UAGUGAUUUUGAUCCUGGCUCAGGGUGAACGCUGGCGGCGUGCUUAAGACAUGCAAGUCGAACGGCAGUCUUCGGACUGUAGUGGCGCACGGGUGAGUAACGCGUAACUGACCUACCCCAAAGUCGCGGAUAACGGUUCGAAAGAAUCGCUAAUACGUGAUGUGCUGCUCCCUCCUGUGGGAUCAGUAAAGGUUUACUGCUUUGGGAUGGGGUUGCGGCGCAUCAGCUCGUUGGUGAGGUAAAGGCUCACCAAGGCAACGACGCGUAACCGGCCUGAGAGGGUGGUCGGUCACAGGGGCACUGAGACACGGGG
rnacentral:rRNA from 1 species